GAAUCAGCAUGUGUGUUAGUGGAAGCGUCUGGAAAGUCGCAGGGUACAGGGUGAUACUCCCGUACACAAAAGCACACACGCUGUGAGCUCGAUGAGUAAGGCGGGACACGUGGUAUCCUGUCUGAAUAUGGGGGGACCAUCCUCCAAGGCUAAAUACUCCUGACUGACCGAUAGUGAACCAGUACCGUGAGGGAAAGGCGAAAAGAACCCCGGCGAGGGGAGUGAAACAGAACCUGAAACCGUGUACGUACAAGCAGUGGGAGCGCCCUUGUGGUGUGACUGCGUACCUUUUGUAUAAUGGGUCAGCGACUUAUAUUCUGUAGCAAGGUUAACCGUAUAGGG
rnacentral:rRNA from 2 species